GAAGGGUAUACGUCCUGUGUAUCUCAGUCGGUGAUAGUGAGUUGUCUGCUGGCUAACAGCAGGCCUAGUCGCAAGACUAGGAUGUACGUUCCACGUGUUCGGUGGUGUACGCUGCUCGGCUAUUGGACUGGAUGGCCAGUGCACUUCCUCCAUUAAGGUGAACACCACGACCGGUGGAGCUGCCAGUCUGGUAUAGUCAAGUUGUGUCUAUUCCGGCAUUCGUGUGGAUUAGGCUCAAUCACAGGCAGAUUCGGUGGACGGUGAGUGGACUUCGGUUUGCUCAUGUUAUCGGUCACUGGCUGUCAACGGGUUUGCCCGCUGAGGUUGCAGUCCUUGGUGGGUGGCCUGGUGGGCUAUUCUGGUAAUAAUAACUGUGCAGGGCACCGGAGUUGACGGUCUCUAAUCCGGCUGACGCACGCGCUGCAGGUGUGUGUGGAGAUGUCAUUGCGGCCUGUCGUUGGUUGGGUCUGAUUGCCGUGUCGCCUGCGAAAAGUAGGUCCGGUAGUGGCUCGGCUACGGUCGGUGCAUGUAAUGGUGCUUCUCGGUCAGUGGGUGUGGGCCUAACAGUCUGUGGUGUAGUGGUAGACGAGCUACCCGACCCGUCUUGAAAC
rnacentral:rRNA from 1 species